UCUCUGUCGGCUUCUGCCGGGCUGCGGAGCGGACGGACGCGCCUAGUGCCCCGGGGAGGGGAGCCACCAGGAGUGGAGGUAGAGGAGGAGGUGUAGAGGAAGAGACGCCCUCUCUGCCGGGACGUCCCCCCGCCCCCCGAGGCUCUGACCCCAGGGGCUAGGGGCCUGACAAGUUUCUCCACCUUGGCUGCCUGAGGAGGCCGCUACCCUGGAGGGCCCUGAGCCCACCGCACCAGGGGCCCCAGCACCGCCCCGGUGGUCUAACGCGACAGUUUCAGGGACCACUGCAAGGUUUCCAGUGGCCUAGACCAGGAGCCCGGGGUCAGAGCAACAACCCUUCCGGCCACCUGCCUCGACUUCUGCCUCAGGCACCAGUCCCGGCCCCGUGCAUCCAGCCCAGGUGACAUGCCGGUACUCUCCACGCCCAGGCCCUCUCGGGUGACCACGCUGAAGCGCACAGCUCUGGUCCUGGCCCUCACCGCCUAUGGAGCCCACAAAAUCUACCCCCUGGUGCGGCAGUACCUAGCUGCAAGCAGGGGCCCUCAGGUACCGGCAGGGGAGUCCACGCAGGACGUCUCUGGGGCCACGGCGGCCAAGGCCAGCGUGAACAGGGUGUUCUUGCGGCGGCUCUUGGGGCUCCUGCGGCUGCUCUUCCCCAGGACCCUGUGCCGGGAAACGGGGCUGCUGGCACUGCAUUCGGCCUCCCUGGUGAGCCGGACUUUCCUGUCCGUGUACGUGGCCCGCCUGGACGGCCGGCUGGCCCGCUGCAUCGUGCGCAAGGACCCACGGGCCUUCAGCUGGCAGCUCCUACAGUGGCUCCUCAUCGCUCUCCCUGCCACCUUCAUCAACAGUGCCAUCCGGUACCUCGAGGGCCAGCUGGCCCUGUCUUUCCGCAGCCGUCUAGUGGCCCAUGCCUACAGCCUCUACUUCUCCCAGCAGACUUACUACAGAGUCAGCAAUAUGGACGGGCGCCUUCGCAACCCUGACCAGUCCUUGACGGAGGACGUGGUGGCCUUUGCCGCUUCAGUGGCCCACCUCUACUCCAACCUCACCAAGCCGCUCCUGGACGUCGCCGUGACGGCCUACACUCUGGUUCGAGCGGCCCGCUCCCGUGGGGCCGGCACGGCCUGGCCCUCGGCCAUCGCUGGCCUUGUCCUGUUCCUCACAGCCAACGUGCUGCGAGCUUUCUCACCUAAGUUUGGCGAGCUGGUGGCAGAGGAGGCGCGGCGGAAGGGAGAGCUGCGCUACAUGCACUCUCGAGUGGUGGCCAACUCAGAGGAGAUCGCCUUCUAUGGGGGCCACGAGGUGGAGCUAGCCCUGUUGCGGCACUCCUACCAGGACCUAGCUUCGCAGAUUAACCUCAUCCUGCUGGAACGCCUUUGGUACAUCAUGCUGGAACAGUUCCUCAUGAAGUACGUGUGGAGUGCCUCCGGCUUACUCAUGGUGGCCGUCCCCAUCAUCACUGCCACCGGCUACUCCGAGUCAGACUCAGAGGCAGUGAAGAAGGCCGCCUUGGAGAUGCGGGAAGGGGAGCUCGUGAGCGAACGCACAGAAGCCUUCACCAUUGCCCGCAACCUCCUCACCGCUGCCGCGGAUGCCAUCGAGCGAAUCAUGUCGUCCUACAAGGAGGUGACAGAGCUGGCCGGCUACACGGCCCGAGUACACGAGAUGUUCCAGGUAUUCGAAGAUGUCCAACACUGCCGUUUCAAGAGGCCUGGCGAGCUGGAGAGCACUCAGGCAGGAGCCGGGGCUGUGGCGCGCUCUGGUGUCCGUGUAGAGGGGCCCCUGCAGAUCCGAGGCCAAGUGGUAGAUGUGGAACAGGGAAUUAUUUGUGAGAACAUCCCCAUCAUCACGCCCACGGGAGAGGUGGUGGUGUCCAGCCUCAACAUCAGGGUGGAAGAAGGCAUGCACCUGCUCAUCACGGGCCCCAACGGCUGCGGCAAGAGUUCUCUGUUCCGGAUCCUCGGCGGGCUGUGGCCCGCAUACGGCGGCGUGCUGUACAAGCCCCCGCCCCAGCGCAUGUUCUACAUCCCUCAGAGGCCCUACAUGUCCGUGGGCUCCUUGCGAGACCAGGUGAUCUACCCAGACUCUGUGGAAGACAUGCGAAGGAAAGGCUAUUCGGAGCAGCACCUGGAGGCCAUUCUGGACAUCGUGCACCUGAACCACAUACUGCAGCGGGAAGGGGGUAAGGGAGGGGGUGGCCCGUCCCACCUAUCAGCGCCAGGGAGUGAGCCACUUAUCAAUUGCCCUUUGGCCCCAGACUGUCAACCGGUUGCCACCCCCACCCCUGCCUCCCUCUCGCCCCUGAGGAAUACAGAUAGUCCCUGCAUCCGGGAGUCCAAAGUGCUAGCGCCCUGGAACGCCCCAGCUGGUGGGCGGAAGUCAUGAGGCAAGGGCAACCAGGCACAGUGGGAAGCGUGCGAUGGGGGUGCUCACUUUUGGCCCGGAUCACCUUGUUCAGGCUGUCGGGCUCAGGGGCAGGGAGGCUCCUGUGGGCCAGGCAGGGAACCCAGGCUUUCCCUGACAGUGAAGGAAGCCUUUGGAAAGCUCGAGGCAGGGAAGUGACAGGUCUAGCGAGAGGACAGAGCACGGGUGGAACGUGUGCCCAGGGUGUCCGUGCAGAGCGCCUCUAGCACAGGGAGCAGGACACAGCCAGAGGGGACGCUUGCGUUUCCGUCUUGAGCCUGGGAGGCGCCAUCCCCUGGGAAGGAGACGGCAGGAGUGGAGGGACAAGCUGGUAGCCCAGGGCUGCGGAGCUGCUGGAGGAAAGGGAGGUGGGGCUGGGCUCAAUUUUCUUCCUGAAAUCUGAGAGCCUGGGCUGCGCUUCCUGCCUCGUCACUUGGGGACAGCUUGGCUGUAAGCAGUGACCUCACCUCUCGAGACUCUUCCCCUGCAAAAGGGGACAGCUCCCUUAGCACCAGCCUGACACAAAAUCCGUCUUGUAAGGACUCAUAGCAGGUGUUCAGGGCACAGCAGAUGAUUCAUGAGGCUUCUUCCCAGAUGUCGUCGCCUGUGUCACAAAGAGGGCUGGAGGUGGUGGAUUUGGGGGGGCGGCUCCUCCUGGGCCUACCCUGGUGGCUGUGGUCCCCCCAGGCUUCAUCCCCGGCUUCCCUGUGUCCUGGUCAGCCCUCUUCUGUUCCAGCGGCCCCGCGCCGGGGGUGCACCCCUCCUCCUGUCUUCUCUGGCACCCCUGAGUGCGCUGGGCCCCUGAGGCCUGCCGUCACAACCUAUUAGCACUGAGUUCAGCUGUGAGCAGCAGAACCCCCUUCCCCGAACGAACGUCAGCAAGAUCGUUCACAAGUUUACCUUACCGUGACAUAACAGUCCUGAGGAAAGCAGGCCACCACCGAUGGAGGCAGCCCUGCGCUGUGAAAGGUCCCUCAGGUCGCUCAGCUAUGUUAGCCUCCGCCACUGAAGCCACCUCGUGGUCCAGAGAUGGCUGCUCCGGCUACCACAUAACAUCCCAGGCCGUGGCUUGGAGAAGAGGGGGAAGGGCCAAGGGCACAUGCCAUGUGUCUUUUAAAGAAAGUUCCAGAAGCUGCCACAUGUGUAACACACUUACACGCGUCGGCCAGAAAUCAGUCACCCGGUCGCCCCUCACCUCCGGGCAAGCUACGGCCUCAAGGCAAGGUAUGGAGUAGAGGCUUUCUUGUGGCUGGGCGUGUGCCCUGACAAAACUUCGAGUCCCGAGGGAGGACCGAGUGGAGGUAGUUGCUUCUGCUCAGACUCGCUAAGGCACUGGCGACAGGCAGUGACAAACACCCAGUCCCCGUGGGUGAGGACCCUUCAGGAGACGCUGCUGCAGUCAUCUGUGGGGCUGUGCCACGACCGUCUGCACAAUUCUGAUCACGUCUUUUUGGGCUAUUAAAGUCUUACCUCCAGGUUGGGAAGCCGUGUGUGACUGGAAGGAUGUGCUGUCGGGGGGUGAGAAGCAGAGAAUUGGGAUGGCGCGCAUGUUCUACCACAGGCCCAAGUAUGCUCUCCUGGAUGAAUG